UACGUAGGGGGCAAGCGUUGUCCGGAUUUAUUGGGCGUAAAGAGCGUGUAGGCGGCCAGGUAGGUCAGCUGUGAAAACUCGAGGCUCAACCUCGAGACGUCGGUUGAAACCACCUGGCUAGAGUCCGGAAGAGGAGAGUGGAAUUCCUGGUGUAGCGGUGAAAUGCGCAGAUAUCAGGAAGAACACCGGUGGCGAAAGCGCUCUGCUGGACCUUAACUGACACUGAGGGACGAAAGCUAGGGGAGCGAAUGGG
rnacentral:rRNA from 1 species